UACGUAGGGUGCUAGCGUUGUCCGGAAUUAUUGGGCGUAAAGAGCUCGUAGGCGGCCUGUCGCGUCCACUGUGCAAUCCCGGGGCUCAACUCCGGAACCGCAGUGGAUACGGGCAGGCUAGAGGCAGGCAGGGGAGAGUGGAAUUCCCGGUGUAGCGGUGAAAUGCGCAGAUAUCGGGAGGAACACCAGUGGCGAAGGCGGCUCUCUGGGCCUGACCUGACGCUGAGGAGCGAAAGCGUGGGGAGCAAACAGGAUUAGAUACCCUGGUAGUCCACGCCGUAAACGUUGGGCGCUAGGUGUGGGGGCCACUCCAAGGUUUCCGCGCCGAAGCUAACGCGUUAAGCGCCCCGCCUGGGGAGUACGGCCGCAAGGCUAAA
rnacentral:rRNA from 1 species